rnacentral:rRNA from 1 species
CCUACGGGAGGCAGCAGUGGGGAAUCUUGCACAAUGGGGGAAACCCUGAUGCAGCGAUGCCGCGUGAGUGAAGAAGGCCUUUGGGUUGUAAAACUCUUUCGUCGGGGAAGAAAAUGACUGUACCCGAAUAAGAAGGUCCGGCUAACUUCGUGCCAGCAGCCGCGGUAAUACGAAGGGACCUAGCGUAGUUCGGAAUUACUGGGCUUAAAGAGUUCGUAGGUGGUUGAAAAAGUUAGUGGUGAAAUCCCAGAGCUUAACUCUGGAACUGCCAUUAAAACUUUUCAGCUAGAGUAUGAUAGAGGAAAGCAGAAUUUCUAGUGUAGAGGUGAAAUUCGUAGAUAUUAGAAAGAAUACCAAUUGCGAAGGCAGCUUUCUGGAUCAUUACUGACACUGAGGAACGAAAGCAUGGGUAGCGAAGAGGAUUAGAUACCCUCGUAGUCCAUGCCGUAAACGAUGUGUGUUAGACGUUGGAAAUUUAUUUUCAGUGUCGCAGGGAAACCGAUAAACACACCGCCUGGGGAGUACGACCGCAAGGUUAAAACUCAAAGGAAUUGACGG